CUUUGCUUUUCUUUUUUUCCUUUCCGUUCUCUCUCUCUCUCUCUCUCUCUCUCUCUCAUUCUCUGAACUCCAUAAUAAACCUCUUUGUUCAACCCCAAAAUCGGAGACCAAGAUUCGAGAAUCUCGCAAAAAGGCAAGAGGAAAAGCUGAUCUACGGACAAAGGGCUACGCACUGAUCUUAACAAAAUCUCGAUCGGCCAACUUUGGAGUUCCUAGCUUUUUUCAAAAUUUGGCUCUUUUGAGGUAGGAUACAUGACUAACCCUCUUGAUAUGUUUAUUUUUAGUAUAAAUGUUGUGAAUUUGUUGUAGAACAUGAAUAUUCCUCAAAUUAUGUGAAAACUUGUGUUAGGGUUUUAAGAUCUCACAUAAAGAGUAUGGGUUCUUGUUGAUACUUAUUAAAUUCUUGAAAUUUAUGUGUUAUUGAAGUGUAGAGCUGUUUAGUGUUGGAAUAUACCAAGUUUAUUUGAGACUUUGUAUCCAUGCUACGUGUUAAACAUCUAGAGAAAAAGGAAAAUACUUACUUGAGCAAUUAAGUUUAAAUUGAGAUGCCAACAAUUAUGACUCUUGCACAUUGUGAUUUAUUUUUAUGACUUGUGAAGGUUAUUUGUGUUAAUGAAAGAGUUUAUGUGUGUUUAAAAAUUAUUGGACACUUAAUGCUUGGAUACUUGGUAGGAAAUUAUGUGGUCAAUGUUUGGAUAUGAAUUAUUCCAUUUGGUAAGAUAGGUUAAGAUGAUUGUGCUCAGAUUAUUUGGUCUAGAUCUAGGUGGUGCACCUAGGAAAAGCAAGCUGGGCUUGGCGAGCUCCUCGAUGAAAGACCAGAAAUUGUUGGGGGUGGUGCUUGUACCCGAUUACCCCGGUUCAUGGGGUGGUACUUGUACCCGUCUACCCUCGGUUAGAUAUUAGAAUUAGCGUAUGGCUAUGAAUUUGAGUUGAACCGAGGAAUGUUGGCCUAGGUUGAUUAGUUGGGGAAAGUAUGAGGUCAUUAAUAUGGUAAAUUUAUGGACACUUGAGAGCAUUAUGUGUGGAUUAUUAAUUUAUGCUUGUUUCACGGCGUUUAUGUUAAACUUGAACAUAUUAUUUGGUUUAGUCUUGUUUCCUAUGGGCUCUGGCUCAUGUUGUUUAACCAUUUCAGGUGACAAAGAGACGCCAAGAACUUAGUGAAGUAUAGCUAUGUGGAGUUCCUUUUGUGCUGUUGUUUGUUUAGCAUUGGUAAUGAAACAUGUUAGACCUUUAGACCAGAUUUGUAAUUAUGUCUGUUUUUGUAUGAUUGUGGAACCGUGACCUUAUUUUACUAUUUUAGAACUGUAAGACUAUGGGUUAUGUAAUCAUAUUUUUGAAGCCCACCUUAUGGCUUGUAGAACUUAUUUUGAUAGAAAGAAUAUGUUGUUCUUGGGACUUAUGGGAAUAAAGUAGGAUAGUUUGGUUCUAUGAAGUUUAAGAUUGGUGAGAUAUCUUUCGUAGUAUAGGAAACUUCUCAAGCUUUUGUGAAAAAUAUAUUCGUUACGAUAAUCCUUAUUUUUUU